rnacentral:rRNA from 1 species
AGUCUGGUGCCAGCAGCCGCGGUAAUUCCAGCUCCAAUAGCGUAUAUUAAAGUUGUUGCAGUUAAAAAGCUCGUAGUUGAAAUUUUGAUUGUAGCGGUCAGUCUCACAACAGUGAGUGCUAGAUGUGCUGUGGUCAUGUUUCGUUGGAACGUGUGUGGCAUUGAGUUGUCGUGCAUGGGAAGACAAUCGUUUACUGUGAAAAAAUUAGAGUGUUCAAAGCAGGCUUAUGCCGUUGAAUAUAUUAGCAUGGAAUAAUAAGAUAGGACCAGGGUACUAUUUUGUUGGUUUGUGCACCUUGGUAAUGAUUAAUAGGGACAGUUGGGGAUAUUCGUAUUGCGGUGUCAGAGGUGAAAUUCUUGGAUUUCCACAAGACGAGCUACUGCGAAAGCAUUUAUCAAGGAUGUUUUCAUUAAUCAAGAACGAAAGUUAGGGGAUCGAAGAUGAUUAGAUACCAUCGUAGUCUUAACCAUAAACUAUGCCGACAAGGGAUUGGCAGGGUGUGUUUAUGCCUCUGUCAGCACCUUAGGAGAAAUCAUAAGUUUUUGGGUUCCGGGGGGAGUAUGGUCGCAAGGCUCAAACUUAAAGACAUUGACGGAAGGGCACCACCAGGAGUGGAGCCUGCGGCUUAAUUUGACCCAACACGGGAAAACUUACCAGGUCCAGGCAUAGUGAGGAUUGACAGAUUGAGAGCUCUUUCUUGAUUCUAUGGGUGGUGGUGCAUGGCCGUUCUUAGUUGGUGGAGUGAUUUGUCUGGUUAAUUCCGUUAACGAACGAGACCCCCGCCUGCUAAAUAGAUGGUCUAGUGAUUUUUCACUGGAAACAUCUUCUUAGAGGGACGUGCGUUCUAUUAGACGCAGGAAGAUGGGGGCAAUAACAGGUCUGUGAUGCCCUUAGAUGUCCUGGGCCGCACGCGCGCUACACUGAUGCAUUCAACGAGUUGCCUUCACCGAGAGGUGUGGGAAAUCUUGGAAUGUGCAUCGUGAUAGGGAUAGAUUCUUGUAAUUUUUAAUCUUGAACGAGGAAUUCCUAGUAAACGCAGAUCAUCAAUCUGCAUUGAUUACGUCCCUGCCCUUUGUACACACCGCCCGUCGCACCUACCGAUUGAAUGGUCCGGUGAAGCCUCGGGAUUGUGAUGACUUUUCUUCAUUGAGAGGUCGUUGCGAGAACUUGUCUAAACCUUAUCAUUUAGAGGAAGGUGAAGUC